GUUUCUAUAGUGUAGUGGUUAUCACGUUUGCUUUACAUGCAAAAGGUCGCCGGUUCGAUCCCGGCUGGAAACA